AUGACUCGCAGUUACACUUUUUUCGUUGUAGCCUUGAUUGCAAUAUUUCUUUUAUCAACAAGUGUGCCCAAAGUUGAAUGUGCUCUUCGCUGCAUUGGCAAGUGUCCAUAUUUCACAGGAUGUGAUAACGAAUGCAAACGACAAGGCUAUGUGAAUGGGGAAUGUCAACCACCUUUUGGCCAAUAUUGUUGUUGUACCCUUCCAUGA